ACGGAGGGGGCGAGCGUUGUCCGAAGUCACUGGGCGUAAAGCGCGCGUAGGCGGGCGGCUAAGUGGGGAGUGAAAGGCUCGGGCUCAACCCGAUGCAGUGCUCCUCAUACUGGUCGUCUUGAGGGCGGUAGGGAGAAGUGGAAUGGCUGGUGUAGCGGUGAAAUGCGUAGAUAUCGGGAAGAACACCCGUGGCGAAGGCGGCUCUCUGGGACGGUACUGACGCUGAGACGCGAAAGCGUGGGGAGCGAACAGGA
rnacentral:rRNA from 1 species